rfam:TPA: Bos taurus chromosome 11, whole genome shotgun sequence.
UCCCUGGUGGCUCAGCGGCAAAGAAUCUGCCUGCAAAGCAGAAGCCACAGGAGACACGGGUUCGAUCCCUGGCUGGGAAA